rnacentral:rRNA from 1 species
UGGGGAAUCUUGCGCAAUGGGCGAAAGCCUGACGCAGCAACGCCGCGUGCGGGAAGACGGCCUUCGGGUUGUAAACCGCUUUCAGCAGGGACGCGGUACCUGCAGAAGAAGCCCCGGCCAACUACGUGCCAGCAGCCGCGGUAAGACGUAGGGGGCGAGCGUUGUCCGGAAUUAUUGGGCGUAAAGGGCUCCUAGGUGGUUCAGUAAGUCGACUUGAAAUCCAAGGCUCAACCUUGGGACGCAGCCGAUACUGCUGGACUCGAGUCCGGUAGAGGAGUGUGGAAUUCCUGGUGUAGCGGUGAAAUGCGCAGAUAUCAGGAGGAACACCAACGGCGAAGGCAGCACUCUGGGCCGGUACUGACACUGAAGAGCGAAAGCGUGGGGAG